AUGAUUGGUGGCUGUUGCUGGCUAGUGUUUCUAGUAUGUGCACGCCACACCUUCAAUCCCACUUACACCUGUGCACUUUUUGUAGUGGAUCUAUGUCGAUACAGAGAUGUGAAGGUUUACGCUCUCCUACUCUGUUGAAGCAAGUCUACUACGUCUUUUACACACACGCAAAUAGUCAUUGAAUGUAUUUUUAUCUUAUGAUAAA
rnacentral:misc_RNA from 1 species